UACGUAGGGUGCAAGCGUUGUCCGGAAUUAUUGGGCGUAAAGAGCUCGUAGGCGGUGUGUCGCGUCGGCCGUGAAAACCUGUGGCUUAACUGUGGGCUUGCGGUCGAUACGGGCAUCACUGGAGUUCGGCAGGGGAGACUGGAAUUCCUGGUGUAGCGGUGAAAUGCGCAGAUAUCAGGAGGAACACCGGUGGCGAAGGCGGGUCUCGUGGGCCGAUACUGACGCUGAGGCGCGAAAGCCAGGGGAGCGAACGGGA
rnacentral:rRNA from 1 species